rnacentral:rRNA from 1 species
GUCCACGCCGUAAACGAUGAGCACUAGCUGUCGGGGUAUCGACCCCUCCGGUAGCGCAGCUAACGCGAUAAGUGCUCCGCCUGGGGACUACGGCCGCAAGGCUAAACUCAAAGGAAUUGACGGGGCCCGCACAAGCAGCGGAGCGUGCGGUUUAAUUCGAAGCUACGCGAAGAACCUUACCAGGGCUUGACAUGCACGGGACAGCCGGUGAAAGCCGGUCUCCUUCGGGUCCGUGCACAGAUGCUGCAUGGCUGUCGU